AGGACGAACGCUGGCGGCGUGCCUAACACAUGCAAGUCGAACGCGCUCCAUUCGGUAGCAAUACUGAUGAAGAGCGAGUGGCGAACGGGUGAGUAGCACGUGAGCAACCUGCCCCGAAGACUGGGACAACACCGGGAAACCGGUGCUAAUACCGGAUAUCCCUAUCGGACCGCAUGAUCUGAUAAGGAAAUGGAUUCCGCUUCGGGAGGGGCUCGCGGCCUAUCAGCUAGUUGGUGAGGUAACGGCCCACCAAGGCAUCGACGGGUAGCUGGUCUGAGAGGACGAUCAGCCACACUGGGACUGAGACACGGCCCAGACUCCUACGGGAGGCAGCAGUGGGGAAUCUUGCGCAAUGGGCGAAAGCCUGACGCAGCAACGCCGCGUGGAGGACGAAGGCUUUCUGAGUUGUAAACUCCUUUCAGCAGGGACGAUAGUGACGGUACCUGCAGAAGAAGCACCGGCAACUACGCGCCAGCAGCCG
rnacentral:rRNA from 1 species